rfam:Medicago truncatula strain A17 chromosome 2, whole genome shotgun sequence.
AUGACGUGUAGCAUGCCCGUUGUGGAAUUACUCUGAUGAAUAUUUGUUAUUUAAUUGCUUUUGGGUAACGGGGUGUUACAAAGGUUA